CCGCGGGAUUAGAGUUUGAUCCUGGCUCAGAAUCAACGCUGGCGGCGUGCCUAACACAUGCAAGUCGAACGAGAAAGUGGAGCAAUCCAUGAGUAAAGUGGCGCACGGGUGAGUAACACGUGACUAACCUACCUUUUAGUGGGGGAUAACCUAGGGAAACCUGGGCUAAUACCGCAUAAUACCUACGGGUCAAAGCAGCAAUGCGCUGAAAGAGGGGGUCGCGGUCGAUUAGUUAGUUGGCAGGGUAAUGGCCUACCAAGACUGUGAUCGAUAUCCGGCCUGAGAGGGCGCACGGACACACUGGAACUGAAACACGGUCCAGACUCCUACGGGAGGCAGCAGUGGGGAAUUUUGCGCAAUGGGGGAAACCCUGACGCAGCAACGCCGCGUGGAGGAUGAAGUCCCUUGGGACGUAAACUCCUUUCGAUCGGGACGAUAAUGACGGUACCGGAAGAAGAAGCCCCGGCUAACUUCGUGCCAGCAGCCGCGGUAAUACGAGGGGGGCAAGCGUUGUUCGGAAUUAUUGGGCGUAAAGGGUGCGUAGGUGGUUCGGCAAGUCUUGUGUGAAAUCUUCAGGCUCAACUUGAAGUCUGCACAAGAAACUGCCGGGCUUGAGUAUGGGAGAGGUGAGUGGAAUUUCCGGUGUAGCGGUGAAAUGCGUAGAUAUCGGAAGGAACACCUGUGGCGAAAGCGGCUCACUGGACCAUUACUGACACUGAGGCACGAAAGCUAGGGGAGCAAACAGGAUUAGAUACCCUGGUAGUCCUAGCCCUAAACGAUGAUCGCUUGGUGUGGCGGGUAUCCAACCCUGCCGUGCCGAAGCUAACGCGUUAAGCGAUCCGCCUGGGGAGUACGGUCG
rnacentral:rRNA from 1 species